rnacentral:rRNA from 1 species
GACAGAGGGUGCAAACGUUGUUCGGAAUUACUGGGCGUAAAGCGCGUGUAGGCUGUCUCGCAAGUCGGGUGUGAAAGCCCUGGGCUCAACCUAGGAAGUGCACUCGAAACUGCGAGACUUGAGUCCUGGAGAGGAAGGCGGAAUUCUCGGUGUAGAGGUGAAAUUCGUAGAUAUCGAGAGGAACACCGGUGGCGAAGGCGGCCUUCUGGACAGUGACUGACGCUGAGACGCGAAGGCGUGGGGAGCGAACGGG